rnacentral:rRNA from 1 species
UACGGAGGGUGCCAAGCGUUAUCCGGAAUCAUUGGGUUUAAAGGGUCCGUAGGCGGUUUUGUAAGUCAGUGGUGAAAGCCCAUCGCGUCAACAGGUGGAAGCGGCCCAUUGAUACUGCAAGACUUGAAUUAUUAGGAAGUAACUAGAAUAGUGUAGUGUAGCGGUGAAAUGCUUAGAGAUUACAUGGAAUACCAAUUGCGAAGGCAGGUUACUACUAAGUGGAUUGACGCUGAUGGACGAAAGCGUGGGGAGCGAACAGG